rnacentral:rRNA from 1 species
CCCUUAGAUGUUAGGGGCCGCACGCGCGCUACACUGAAGGAAUCAGCACGUCUUUCUCCUUGUCCGAAAGGACUGGGUAACCCGCUGAACCUCCUUCGUGCUAGGGAUUGGGGCUUGUAAUUCUUCCCCAUGAACGAGGAAUUCCCAGUAAGCGCGAGUCAUAAGCUCGCGUUGAUUACGUCCCUGCCCUUUGUACACACCGCCCGUCGCUACUACCGAUUGGAUGGUUUAGUGAGAUCCUCGGAUUGGUCCCGGAGCGGCCUCUGGUCGUGCCGGAGUGCCGAAAAGAAUGUCGAACUUGAUCAUCUAGAGGAAGUAAAAGUCGUAACA